AGCAGCAGCCGCGGGAAUACGUAGGUGGCAAGCGUUGUCCGGAAUUAUUGGGCGUAAAGGGCUCGCAGGCGGUUUCUUAAGUCUGAUGUGAAAGCCCCCGGCUCAACCGGGGAGGGUCAUUGGAGACUGGGAAACUUGAGUGCAGAAGAGGAGAGUGGAAUUCCACGUGUAGCGGUGAAAUGCGUAGAGAUGUGGAGGAACACAGUGGCGAAGGCGACUCUCUGGUCUGUAACUGACGCUGAGGAGCGAAAGCGUGGGGAGCGAACAGGAUUAGAUACCCCUGUAGUCCCUGUCUCUUAUACA
rnacentral:rRNA from 1 species